rnacentral:rRNA from 1 species
AUUGAACGCUGGCGGCAUGCCUAACACAUGCAAGUCGAGCGAGACCUUCGGGUCUAGCGGCGGACGGGUUAGUAACGCGUGGGAACGUGCCCUUCUCUGCGGAAUAGCCACUGGAAACGGUGAGUAAUACCGCAUACGCCCUUCGGGGGAAAGAUUUAUCGGAGAAGGAUCGGCCCGCGUUAGAUUAGAUAGUUGGUGGGUAACGGCCUACCAAGUCUACGAUCUAUAGCUGGUUUUAGAGGAUGAUCAGCAACACUGGGACUGAGACACGGCCCAGACUCCUACGGGAGGCAGCAGUGGGGAAUCUUAGACAAUGGGCGCAAGCCUGAUCUAGCCAUGCCGCGUGUGUGAUGAAGGUCUUAGGAUCGUAAAGCACUUUCGCCAGGGAUGAUAAUGACAGUACCUGGUAAAGAAACCCCGGCUAACUCCGUG